rnacentral:misc_RNA from 1 species
GAUGAAGAACGCAGCGAAAUGCGAUAAGUAAUGUGAAUUGCAGAAUUCAGUGAAUCAUAGAAUCUUUGAACGCACAUUGCGCCCGCCAGUAUUCUGGCGGGCAUGCCUGUUCGAGCGUCAUUUCAACCAUCAAGCCCCCGGCUUGUGUUGGGGACCUGCGGCUGCCGCAGGCCCUGAAAAGCAGUGGCGGGCUCGCUGUCACACCGAGCGUAGUAGCAUACAUCUCGCUCUGGGCGUGCUGCGGGUUCCGGCCGUUAAACCACCUUCAUAACCCAAGGUUGACCUCGGAUCAGGUAGGAAGACCCGCUGAACUUAAGCAUAUCAAUAAGCGGAGGA